rnacentral:rRNA from 1 species
UUGAAGAGUUUGAUCAUGGCUCAGAUUGAACGCUGGCGGCAGGCCUAACACAUGCAAGUCGAACGGUAACAGAAAGCAGCUUGCUGCUUUGCUGACGAGUGGCGGACGGGUGAGUAAUGUCUGGGAAACUGCCUGAUGGAGGGGGAUAACUACUGGAAACGGUAGCUAAUACCGCAUAACGUCGCAAGACCAAAGAGGGGGACCUUCGGGCCUCUUGCCAUCGGAUGUGCCCAGAUGGGAUUAGCUUGUUGGUGGGGUAACGGCUCACCAAGGCGACGAUCCCUAGCUGGUCUGAGAGGAUGACCAGCCACACUGGAACUGAGACACGGUCCAGACUCCUACGGGAGGCAGCAGUGGGGAAUAUUGCACAAUGGGCGCAAGCCUGAUGCAGCCAUGCCGCGUGUAUGAAGAAGGCCUUCGGGUUGUAAAGUACUUUCAGCGGGGAGGAAGGGAGUAAAGUUAAUACCUUUGCUCAUUGACGUUACCCGCAGAAGAAGCACCGGCUAACUCCGUGCCAGCAGCCGCGGUAAUACGGAGGGUGCAAGCGUUAAUCGGAAUUACUGGGCGUAAAGCGCACGCAGGCGGUUUGUUAAGUCAGAUGUGAAAUCCCCGGGCUCAACCCGGGAACUGCAUCUGAUACUGGCAAGCUUGAGUCUCGUAGAGGGGGGUAGAAUUCCAGGUGUAGCGGUGAAAUGCGUAGAGAUCUGGAGGAAUACCGGUGGCGAAGGCGGCCCCCUGGACGAAGACUGACGCUCAGGUGCGAAAGCGUGGGGAGCAAACAGGAUUAGAUACCCUGGUAGUCCACGCCGUAAACGAUGUCGACUUGGAGGUUGUGCCCUUGAGGCGUGGCUUCCGGAGCUAACGCGUUAAGUCGACCGCCUGGGGAGUACGGCCGCAAGGUUAAAACUCAAAUGAAUUGACGGGGGCCCGCACAAGCGGUGGAGCAUGUGGUUUAAUUCGAUGCAACGCGAAGAACCUUACCUGGUCUUGACAUCCACAGAACUUUCCAGAGAUGGAUUGGUGCCUUCGGGAACUGUGAGACAGGUGCUGCAUGGCUGUCGUCAGCUCGUGUUGUGAAAUGUUGGGUUAAGUCCCGCAACGAGCGCAACCCUUAUCCUUUGUUGCCAGCGGUCCGGCCGGGAACUCAAAGGAGACUGCCAGUGAUAAACUGGAGGAAGGUGGGGAUGACGUCAAGUCAUCAUGGCCCUUACGACCAGGGCUACACACGUGCUACAAUGGCGCAUACAAAGAGAAGCGACCUCGCGAGAGCAAGCGGACCUCAUAAAGUGCGUCGUAGUCCGGAUUGGAGUCUGCAACUCGACUCCAUGAAGUCGGAAUCGCUAGUAAUCGUGGAUCAGAAUGCCACGGUGAAUACGUUCCCGGGCCUUGUACACACCGCCCGUCACACCAUGGGAGUGGGUUGCAAAAGAAGUAGGUAGCUUAACCUUCGGGAGGGCGCUUACCACUUUGUGAUUCAUGACUGGGGUGAAGUCGUAACAAGGUAACCGUAGGGGAACCUGCGGUUGGAUCACCUCCUU